UAAAAGAAAGGAAGGAUCUACACUUACCUCUUGAAGAUCGAGAGGAGAUGCGAUCCCAAACUUGGAGAUAUGGAGGAAUGAGCUCCGGGGGUCUCUAAACUUCAAAACUUUGAUCUUAGCUUAAAAUCUUCAAAAACAAGAUAGAAACUCAUAAAAAUCAUGAGAGACUUGAAGAAAAAGCACAAGAUCGACAAGGGGUGGCGGAGACUCACCUUGCCCGGAAAUGGAGAGAGAAAACUCGCCUAUUUUCGGACAGAGGGCCCUUUAUAGGUGGCUGGCCAGACCACCUUCGGGGGCCAAAAGUGCCUCCGCAUCCGCCCCAUGUUCGGCGGCCGAACCUGGAUUUUUCCCUCAAGCUCUUUUCCUUUAAAUCUCAAUUUCUUUCUUCAUUAAAACUAUAAAAACACAUAAAAACAUUUUAGAAAACCUUUAUUUUAC
rnacentral:lncRNA from 1 species